rnacentral:rRNA from 1 species
UGGCUCAGGAUGAACGCUGGCGGCACGCCUAACACAUGCAAGUCGAACGGAGUUUAAGAGAGCUUGCUCUUUAAACUUAGUGGCGGACGGGUGAGUAACACGUGAGCAACCUGCCUUCAGAGAGGAUAGCUUCUAGGAAACGGAUGGUAAUACCUCAUAAUAUAUGAAUUUGGCAUCUUAUUCAUAUCAAAGAUUUAUCGCUGAAAGAUGGGCUCGCGUCUGAUUAGCUAGUUGGUGAGGUAACGGCCCACCAAGGCAACGAUCAGUAGCCGGACUGAGAGGUUGAACGGCCACAUUGGGACUGAGACACGGCCCAGACUCCUACGGGAGGCAGCAGUGGGGAAUAUUGCACAAUGGGCGCAAGCCUGAAUGCAGCGAUGCCGCGUGAGGGAAGAAGGUUUUCGGAUUGUAAACCUCUGUCAUCGGGGACGAAAAUGACGGUACCCGAGAAGGAAGCUCCGGCUAACUACGUGCCAGCAGCAGC